GUCAACUGUGAAGGAGUACAGAAAGGUCAGGCAGCAAAGGGAUUCUAAAGGCCUGGAAUAAGCGAUUGCACAUUCUUUCUGGUGAUUUUUCUUCUAGUCCACAUCCCACCCCAAGCCCACAGCCUGCUUCAUCCCAACUGCAAUCUCAACUACUCCCUCACCUCCUUCUUCCAAAGAGAAAGAUGUGAAAAAGCAAAAUCAGUCAGUCUGAUCUCACCUUCCCUUCCCUCCAUUUAAUGGAGGGUUGGGGGUUGGGGAGAGCAUGCAACAAGGAAAUAGCUCUGGAAUCCAGAACAUCUGGCUUCUAUUCAGACCCAAUCACCAACCUUGGGAGCAUAUUGAAAGCAUUUGGCUGUCUCAACAGUCUAAAAGAAGCUAUUUAUUUCAGACUCAACAACCAGCCCAACCAUAUGCUUCCAUUUGGAAACAAUUGGAGGAUAGUGGACAGAGCCCUGGACUUGCAACUGCUUACUUUUCCGAGCUCUAAUUUCUUCAUCUAUAAAAGGAGAAUAAUAAUUUGCAUGUCAGAAAACUAAAUAGAGAUCAAGUGGCUUAAGCAAGAUGGGCCACUAGAGGUACCUAGUGCUAAUCUCCCCCUCCGAAAAGGACCCAAACAAUAAAUAAACAAUCACAUUUUGACUACAGGGUCUAAAGGAGAGUGCUGGAGUACAGCAAGGAAGUAGCAGAAUCCUUGUGGAAACCCAGAAUGGCAGCAUAUGGAGGGGAACAAAGCACUCUGCCUCUGCCAACCCGUCUGCCCCCACUAGGAUGGUCUUGGAGCCUGGGGUGACUUCUUGUGGGGAAAAGAUAAGCUGGAGGCUUCUAGCAACCCUGUUACCACCACAGACACUUGCAGUCAUUACUACAGGAGAAUCCCACAGUCCUCACAGGCCUUGAGCCCAGGACGGAGAGCUGCCUGGAGUUCACAAGGCUGCAUUGCUCCAGAGUAGGAGCCUACAUUGUGCACCGCCCACCCACCCAAGUGUCUACAACACAGGGCCAUCUUGAAGUCAGACGUACUGCUACAGUGUGUCCUGCUCUUGGGCCACUAGCAACUUUGUCUCUCCAUCUCUGAGGCUCCACCAUUAUUUUCCAUGUCUAUAACAGGUGGAUGCAGUGCUCCUACUCAGAGCCUAGACCCAGUGGAACAGCUAUGACUCUGAUAGCUGAGCCCACAUGACGCGCAGCCGUCCUCCCUGACCAAGGAAUAGGCAGUCCUGCACAGUGGGGAAACCAGCCCAAAACCAGUGGACCUGCCAUAUGUGCAUGCUCUUAGCCUGAGAACCAGCCUGGAGGCCCUGCCUCCAGAGAGCUUGUCCCCAAGCCAGCCAACGCACCAUAUAUGUACACCCUCGGCCUAAGAAGCAGUCCAGAGGCCCUGGCCCUGGUGAGCUUGCCCCCCAACCCAGCUGAUCAGCCACGUGCAUUCCCACCUUGGACUGAGAGCCAGCCAACCACACUGCUCACAGCAAAGUCACACCACUGCUGAUGUGGUUUGGAUCUGUGUCCCCACCAAAGCUCAUGUUGAACUGUAAUCCCCAGUGUUGGAUGUGGGGCCUGGUGGGUCAUGGAGGCAGAUUUCUCAUGAAUGGUUUCGCAUCGUCUCCCUUGGUAGUGUCCUCAUGUUAGUGAGUGAGUUCUCAUAAGAUCUGGUUAGUUAAAAGCGUGUGGCACCUCCCCGCCCUCUUGCUCUUGCUCUUGCUCCUGCCAUGUGAGACACCUGCUCUCCC
rnacentral:lncRNA from 10 species